CUCGGGGAUAGCCUUUCGAAAGAAAGAUUAAUACCCGAUGGCAUAGUUCUUCCGCAUGGUAGAACUAUUAAAGGAUUUCGGUCAUCGAUGGGGAUGCGUUCCAUUAGGUUGUUGGCGGGGUAACGGCCCACCAAGCCUUCGAUGGAUAGGGGUUCUGAGAGGAAGGUCCCCCACAUUGGAACUGAGACACGGUCCAAACUCCUACGGGAGGCAGCAUG
rnacentral:rRNA from 1 species